GUCAGGAUAGUCAUGACGGAUUUUUGUCACCAACUGCUCCAAGUCGAACGUUCCAUCGGGAAAUGUGUUCACGGUGGUGGCGUGCACGCCGGCCAGCUGUGUCAAAACACAAACAUAGGUUUCAGUAUUAGUGUUUUUCCUCUUUCAUUUU